AGCAGCCGCGGUAAUUCCAGCUCCAAUAGCGUAUAUUAAAGUUGUUGCAGUUAAAAAGCUCGUAGUUGAAUUUCGGGAUUGACACAUCGGUCGUGCCUUAAGGGGUGUGAACUGGUGUAGUCAAUUUCUCACCUUCUGGAGAACCGCGAUGUCCUUAAUUGGGUGCCGCGAGGAACCAGGACCUUUACUUUGAAAAAAAUUAGAGUGUUUAAAGCAGGCAUUUUUGCUUGAAUACAUUAGCAUGGAAUAAUAAAAUAGGACGGCAUGAUUCUAUUUUGUUGGUUUCUAGGAUCACCGUAAUGAUUAAUAGGGAUAGUUGGGGGCAUUAGUAUUCAAUUGUCAGAGGUGAAAUUCUUGGAUUUAUUGAAGACUAACUACUGCGAAAGCAUUUGCCAAGGAUGUUUUCAUUAAUCAAGAACGAAAGUUAGGGGAUCGAAGACGAUCAGAUACCGUCGUAGUCUUAACCAUAAACUAUGCCGACUAGGAAUCAGACGAUGUUAAUUUUUUAAUGACUCGUUUG
rnacentral:rRNA from 1 species